rnacentral:rRNA from 1 species
GGCCCAGAUCGUUUACCGUGAAAAAAUUAGAGUGUUCAAAGCAGGCAGACAUUAAUCUCUGCCACCGAAUACAUUAGCAUGGGAUAAUGGAAUAGGACCCUGUCCUCCUAUUUUCAGUUGGUUUUCGAGGACCAGGGUAAUGAUUAAUAGGGAUAGUUGGGGGCAUUAAUAUUUAAUUGUCAGAGGUGAAAUUCUUGGAUUUAUGAAAGAUUAACUUCUGCGAAAGCAUCUGCCAAGGAUGUUUUCAUUAAUCAAGAACGAAAGUUAGGGGAUCGAAGACGAUCAGAUACCGUCGUAGUCUUAACCAUAAACGAUGCCGACCAGCGAUUAGGAGACGUUGAAUGCAAAACACCACCAUCAGGCGGGUCGUUCCUGGCUAGCUUCGCGCAAGCGGGGUUGGUGGGGGCGAUUCGUUUCCCUGAUGGCCCGGUGAAUGACUCCCCUAGCAGCUUGUGAGA